UACAGAGGGUGCAAACGUUGCUCGGAAUUACUGGGCGUAAAGCGCGUGUAGGCGGAUGGGUGUGUCAGAUGUGAAAUCCCCAGGCUCAACCUGGGAACUGCAUUUGAAACUGCCUGUCUAGAGUAUCGGAGAGGGUGGCGGAAUUCCUGGUGUAGAGGUGAAAUUCGUAGAUAUCAGGAGGAACAACAGAAGCGAAGGCGACUCACUGGACCAUUACUGACGCUGAGACGCGAAAGCGUGGGUAGCAAACAGG
rnacentral:rRNA from 1 species